GGAGGCGGGAGGCCCGCGCAGUGGACAGCAGACGCGGGGCGCCUGGGUCCCCCAAACGUGAAGUACAAACCUUCGCGCGCUUCGCCACUGGACUGCGGCGCUCGUCCCUCGGCCUAGCGAGCCUGCAUGUAAGGACGCCGGCCCCAGCGGAGCGCCAGCUCGCCAUCUGACUGCACAACUGUGUGUGACGGGAAGCGGAGAAUUUAAACCUGGCUCCAGAAAAGGCAGACCCCUGCCCAUCCCAUCCCGAUUUCAUCUCAGAUCCGAGCAUUCCACAGUCUUUGGGGCUGCUAGACCAGCUCUUGCUCCCGAGUGCCAGGUCCAUACUUCCAGACACUUAUUGGAUGUCUCCAUCGCGAGGUCGCACAGAGAACUAAUUGAUUCAUCGUUGCAUCUCCCCUCCACCACGACCCUGCUCCUCCCCGUUGGGUUCCCUGCUUUGAUUAAGGACAAGAACACUGAAGUACCUUGAGGAAACGAAAAAGGAAGAGGUGAAUUCCAAACCUCCAAAAUGCAGUGCCCACUUUCAGGAUGAACACCACAACUUAAUUCCUGAUGAAGAAUGGUUACGGAAUUUCACCUUCACAGCCCUUACAACACUACUAAGAUUUGCAAGAACAGAAUAGCCAUAGGGAUGGACUCAGGAAUUUUCUUGCCUUUUCCAAAUGACUUCCAGAUGAUUAAAUUCAGAAUGAGAAGAAUUAAAGAUCCAAACCUUAAAAUUCA